GAUGAACGCUGGCGGCGUGCCUAACACAUGCAAGUCGAACGAGUUUAUGAAGUUUUCGGACGGAUUAAACUUAGUGGCGGACGGGUGAGUAACGCGUGGGUAACCUGCCUCAUACAGGGGGAGUAACAGCCGGAAACGGCUGCUAAAACCGCAUAACAUUGCGUGGUCGCAUGACUGUGCAAUUAAAUAUUUAUAGGUAUGAGAUGGGCCCGCGUCUGAUUAGCUAGUUGGUAGGGUAAAGGCCUACCAAGGCGACGAUCAGUAGCCGGCUUGAGAGAGUGACCGGCCACAUUGGGACUGAGACACGGCCCAAACUCCUACGGGAGGCAGCAGUGGGGAAUAUUGCACAAUGGGGGAAACCCUGAUGCAGCGACGCCGCGUGAGUGAAGAAGUAUUUCGGUAUGUAAAGCUCUAUCAGCAGGGAAGAAAAUGACGGUACCUGACUAAGAAGCCCCGGCUAACUACGUG
rnacentral:rRNA from 1 species